CCUAUCCUAACUACUGUAUCAUCGGAGGUACGCGUUUCACCGUCUACCGAGAGUGCGACUCCUCCGGCUGCGUCGGACUCCUCUCCGAGUUUCCCGGACGGCAUUUCGGGCAUCUUGGCAGCACCACGCCUGGCUGUCCGCAUUUGAAACAAAACAUAUUGCGCACCGCCGACUCGCAAUCGAAAUAUGUAUGCCCUGGUUGUGCACAAUUCCAACACUUGAGAUUCGAGCGGCUCCCACCAGUUUCAUGUGGCCUAUAUACCGCCUCCAAAUGCUCCAGUUGGCCGCCUUCUGUACCUUCUGCUACCACGUCCAGCUCGUGUACUCGAUGCUGCUCUCUCUGCUGCCCGUAGUUGGUACUGGCUGAGGGCCGCGCCCAACGCGUUGCCAGCAUCUUUUCGGCGUCUUGGCACUCCUCUCUCAGCUUCUGCAGAUUAGUUAUAUUCAUCGGAUAGAUGACCCUAGACACGGUGUCUUUAAUAUUUGUCUUUAUCACCUUAAUAAGGUCAUAAUCCGAAAAUGGACACACCAACCGAGAACGCAACACCAGCAUCGCCUGAAUAUACUCUUCUAUGCUCUCGCCAUGCCGCUGCUUCCGCUCCCUCAGCUCCUGCUCUCGUUCAAACUCCGAUCUUCGAGUCUGAAAUUGCUGCUGCAGCCCAUAUCGGAGAUUCGGCCAGUCCGGCACGCCCGAGGUACGUAUGUACAUCCAAUACCAAUCUUUCGCUCUUCCGUUCACCAGGCAGUGGAAGUCUCGCAACACGUCGGCCCAGGGCACCUGAUACAAGGACUGCAAAUGCUCCAAUCGAAAUAUAAACUCUGCCACCGGCAUUCCUUUGGUUUCGCCAUCAAAUACAAGGCCCCACUUUCUGAUGUGGACGACGUCGGGCCGGGAGUCUCCCAUCGUGGUUCGCCUUAAUGGCCUGUGCACGUCAGGGCCCAAAUCGCGCAUCCACGGAUCGGCUGAGAACUGCCGCUGCUCCACAUGUGCCCGCUGUUCUGCCUCUAAAGUUCGGUUGUCGACGAACAGGCUGGCCGCUGCAUUUGCGCGUGAGCUCGCUCUGGCCUGCCCACCGGCGCCUGUGCUACAGACGGAGGCGCGCUAUGCGUUUUCUCCUGCCUCAGCGCUGCCACUGCCUCAUUAAUCUCGCGCAUGAACGACAGCAUGCUGGCCUGCAUCGUCUCUCGAAUGGCCUCUACUUCUGAUGACAACGAUGCGCGAUACGUCUCGUGGGCCUGUGCUAAUGCCACGUUGAUCGCUGACCGAAUUUCGCUUGGCAGCGCAGACUCGGCUCUGCCACCCUGCUCUUCACCGCCAUAGUCAUGCGCGCGUGCGCCGGCUGUUGCUCCGGAACUGUUCGGAAAUUCAUCCCCGAAUCCUCGGAACGCUGCCUCGUUUACACUCGGCGGCGAUGCGUCAUCAUGGAGUGCUUCUGCUGGCUUGCCCGCCUCACUCAAUCCUACGUGAGGAGGAGAGUCCAAGUGAACCAAUGGCCUAUUUCUACUAAACUCCUGACUCCGCCUGACCUUCCGGGUAACAUUCGGGUCAAGAUUCAUUUCUCAGUACCUUGUUAAUCCAAACCAAAAAAAACCACUGCUAGUACUCGGAUCCGUACCCGCCGAUUAUAAUAUCAAAAAAAACUAGAUCUAUAUUCUAAACGAGCAAACUCCAAAUAAAUAAAUAGAUCGGUCCCCUCGUA